ACGAACGCUGGCGGCGUGCCUAAUACAUGCAAGUCGAGCGAAUCGAUGGGAGCUUGCUCCCUGAGAUUAGCGGCGGACGGGUGAGUAACACGUGGGCAACCUGCCUAUAAGACUGGGAUAACUUCGGGAAACCGGAGCUAAUACCGGAUACGUUCUUUUCUCGCAUGAGAGAAGAUGGAAAGACGGUUUCGGCUGUCACUUAUAGAUGGGCCCGCGGCGCAUUAGCUAGUUGGUGAGGUAAUGGCUCACCAAGGCGACGAUGCGUAGCCG
rnacentral:rRNA from 1 species